AGGAGGAACAACCGCAGUGGUGGGGCCAGCUCUGGAGCACUGGAGUCACCUCCAGCAGUAGCUCCAGAGCUCUCCGUCUGCAGGGCCUGGAGGCUCCGGGGCGGG
rfam:Canis lupus familiaris chromosome 11, whole genome shotgun sequence.